UUGUCUCAAAGAUUAAGCCAUGCAUGUCUCAGUACGAGCCGAAUUAAGGUGAAACCGCGAAAGGCUCAUUAAAUCAGUUAUGGUUCCUUAGAUCGUACCCACAUUUACUUGGAUAACUGUGGUAAUUCUAGAGCUAAUACAUGCAAACAGAGCUCCGACCGGAGACGGAAAGAGCGCUUUUAUUAGAUCAAAACCAAUCGGCGGCGGGUCUCCCGUCGCCGUACACCCUUGGUGACUCUGAAUAACUUUUUGCUGAUCGCACGGUCCUCGCACCGGCGACGCAUCUUUCAAAUGUCUGCCUUAUCAACUGUCGAUGGUAGGUUCUGCGCCUACCAUGGUCGUAACGGGUAACGGGGAAUCAGGGUUCGAUUCCGGAGAGGGAGCCUGAGAAACGGCUACCACAUCCAAGGAAGGCAGCAGGCGCGCAAAUUACCCACUCCCGGCACGGGGAGGUAGUGACGAAAAAUAACGAUACGGGACUCAUCCGAGGCCCCGUAAUCGGAAUGAGUACACUCUAAAUCCUUUAACGAGGAUCAAUUGGAGGGCAAGUCUGGUGCCAGCAGCCGCGGUAAUUCCAGCUCCAAUAGCGUAUAUUAAAGUUGUUGCGGUUAAAAAGCUCGUAGUCGAACUUGUGUCCCGCGCCGCCGGUUCAUCGCUCGCGGUGUCAACUGGCGUGUCCGCGGGACNUCCUGCCGGUGGGCUUAGCUCCUCCUGGCGGGGGGCGGCCCAAUCUCAAUCCCACCGCGGUGCUCUUCGCUGAGUGUCGAGGCGGGCCGGCACGUUUACUUUGAACAAAUUAGAGUGCUUAAAGCAGGCUAAAACCUCGCCUGAAUACUGUGUGCAUGGAAUAAUGGAAUAGGACCUCGGUUCUAUUUUGUUGGUUUUCGGAACCCCGAGGUAAUGAUUAAUAGGAACGGAUGGGGGCAUUCGUAUUGCGACGUUAGAGGUGAAAUUCUUGGAUCGUCGCAAGACGGACGGAAGCGAAAGCAUUUGCCAAAAACGUUUUCAUUGAUCAAGAACGAAAGUUAGAGGUUCGAAGGCGAUCAGAUACCGCCCUAGUUCUAACCAUAAACGAUGCCAGCUAGCGAUCCGCCGACGUUCCUCCGAUGACUCGGCGGGCAGCUUCCGGGAAACCAAAGCUUUUGGGUUCCGGGGGAAGUAUGGUUGCAAAGCUGAAACUUAAAGGAAUUGACGGAAGGGCACCACCAGGAGUGGAGCCUGCGGCUUAAUUUGACUCAACACGGGAAACCUCACCAGGCCCGGACACCGGAAGGAUUGACAGAUUGAGAGCUCUUUCUUGAUUCGGUGGGUGGUGGUGCAUGGCCGUUCUUAGUUGGUGGAGCGAUUUGUCUGGUUAAUUCCGAUAC
rnacentral:rRNA from 1 species